UAAAAUUAUAAAUAUUCAGGUGCCCUUAUCUAGGGGAGAAUAGGGAAUCCCGUUAAAAACGGGAGCGAGCCCAUCACUGUAAGUCCAGUAGCUUUAAAAUUAUUUUUAGGCUUUUUCACAAAUUAUGGUCACUGUUUUUUUAUAGAAGACGGGAAGACCGUGAAAAAGAGACGAGCCAGUAGACCUGCCUGGAUGUUAUAGCUGCC
rnacentral:ncRNA from 2 species